AUGUGUGCAUUUAUUUGUGUUUUAUUCAAAAGGCAGAGACACAGAGAUCUUCCAUCCAGGGCUCCCUCCCAGUGGUUGCCACAGCCAGGGCUGAGCCUGACUGAAGAGAAGCUGGGCACGCAACCCCGGUGUCCACAUGAGGGCAGGGACCCACACCGAGCCCUCAGCGUCUGCUGCCCAGGUGCACAGCCCACACCUGAACUCGGGCUCUGGGACGCAGGCUGCGGGCAGCCAGGCCAGCUCCCUGGCUGCUCUUCUCGCUUCGUGAACUGGUCUGGCGACAUCCGAGGUAUGGAGACGGCUGAGCCUGAGGGGUGCUGUGGCCCUGCCACCAGAGAGCAUGGAUGUACCACUUCUAGUUCCCUGGGGUCCCCGGCUCAUCCCGCGGCAGCAGCUCCUCGCCUUGCUCCAUGGCCCCCUGGUUCUCUGCCCGGAGCAUCUCGGGAGCAGCCACGCUCAGGCUCCAUUCCUCACCCCCGACACGUGGCUCGGGCUCGCUGCUUCCUGGAAACAGCCCCGUUCUCCUGGGAAGGACCCUCUCCGGGGGGGCCGGAGCCCCGCUCCCUUCACCCCUGCCCCCGCCCCCACCCUCAGCAUUCAACUCCUUCCCCUGACAGCUCUGGGCUGCACCCGCCCUCCGCGGAAAUCAAGGGCCAGGGCCAACAGCUGGGUGACGAGGCCAUUGCCAAGACACGGGACUCGGCAUCGUCUGAAGCGGGCUUGGGAG
rnacentral:lncRNA from 1 species